CACAAACUAGACUAGCCUGUUCAAAAUGGCCGACGCUUGCAAACGGAAAUGACAUAUAUUUAUGUUAAGUUCAAAAGUGGCCACACUGAUGUCUGGGGAAGAUUCAUCACCGCCACACAAGUACCAAAUUUUCAAAAGCAUGCAAAUGCACUCCUGUAAUAACCUGAUGUGGGAUUGCAUCGUACUGCAAGGGCAACGGUAAGAGAAGCAGUGAGCGGGUAUCCACGAGAACUAUGCUGCUGGUGGGUCAAACUUCCACACCGUCCAUCCAAAUUCAGAAAGACGGCGCCGCCAGCGAAAGUUAAUGCAGAAUUGAUACAGCAGCCCGCUGUCAAAGAAGUGGUGCUUCAGAGAGACUGCAGAGUGAAAUGAAGAGUGGACUGUUUCAACAAGGCAAGGGCAUAAAGAGCAAAAUCACUGCAGAUAAAACAUUACUUCAAGAGGUCAUCGCUCUAUACAGAGUGUGAAGAACUCAUACCAGCAGUUCAUCCAGCUGUACGUGAAGGUUUUUACACAUCUGUAUGAAUGAGGGAACAGAAGACUGGUCUAACAGAAUAUACACAGGAACUCUGCGCCGUGUGCAAGCUUCC